CGUCUCCUCCAUGUUCUCCAUGCAUGGAUUCAAGCCCGCUUUGGCGGGCUUUUCUUU
rnacentral:ncRNA from 1 species